rnacentral:rRNA from 1 species
UACGGAGGGUGCAAGCGUUAUCCGGAUUUACUGGGUUUAAAGGGUGCGUAGGUGGGUCUGUAAGUCAGUGGUGAAAUCUCCGAGCUUAACUCGGAAACUGCCAUUGAUACUAUAGAUCUUGAAUUAUCUGGAGGUAAGCGGAAUAUGUCAUGUAGCGGUGAAAUGCUUAGAUAUGACAUAGAACACCAAUUGCGAAGGCAGCUUACUACCCGAAUAUUGACACUGAGGCACGAAAGCGUGGGGAGCAAACAGG